AAAAGGGAAGCGCUUGUGACCAGACUUGCGUCCGGUGAAUCACCCAGCUCUCGCGGCUGGGGCACUUCGCCGGCACAGGCCAGCAUCAGCUUGCCGUCGGGGACAAAAGCUUCAGGAACGUAGCUCCUCUCGGGGAGUGUUAUAGCCUGUUGNAUAAUACCCUUCGGCGGGCUGAGGUACGCGCUCCGCAAGGAUGCUGGCGUAAU
rnacentral:rRNA from 1 species